GAUGAACGCUAGCGGCAGGCCUAACACAUGCAAGUCGAGGGGCAGCACAGAAACAGCAAUGUUUUGGUGGCGACCGGCGGACGGGUGCGUAACGCGUAUGCAACCUACCUUUAACAGGGGGAUAACGGAGAGAAAUUUCCACUAAUACCCCAUAACAUCGAUCAAGGCAUCUUGAUUGGUUGAAAACUCCGGUGGUUAAAGAUGGGCGUGCGUUGUAUUAGGUAGUUGGUGAGGUAAUGGCUCACCAAGCCUACGAUACAUAGGGGGACUGAGAGGUUAGCCCCCCACACUGGUACUGAGACACGGACCAGACUCCUACGGGAGGCAGCAGUGAGGAAUAUUGGUCAAUGGGGGCAACCCUGAACCAGCCAUGCCGCGUGCAGGAAGACGGCUCUAUGAGUUGUAAACUGCUUUUAAACAGGGAUAAAGCACAGUAUGUAUACUGCGUUGAAGGUACUGUAAGAAUAAGGAUCGGCUAACUUCGUGCCAGCCGCCGCAGUAA
rnacentral:rRNA from 1 species